UUCCGGGCGCCGCGGAGCGCUGAGGGCGGGCGAGGCGGCGCAGCCGGUGGCGGGGGGCGUGAGGAACGCUCCUUAUCCGGCAGCCACGGCUCAGGCAGCGAACGAUACGAAGCACAUUUUAUUUAAACAUUCUUGCCAGAACGGGUGACCUAGCAAGUGUGGCAUCGUGUUACUACUGGCAGUUCCGGGUGAAUCACAGUUGAUUUAUUGGCAUAGAAUCUCCAGAACCGUCCAUGUCCAUCACGAACACCGUUGAUCAGCCAGGUGGCUGCGUGGCAAACCUCAUGAAUUAGUGUGUCUCGAAGACGAUCUUGGGACAAGUCUGGACUGCCUCUGGAAAUAGAGGCUUUCAGAUUUUGUGGAGAUGGAAGUUUUAUGCACCUCCAACUCUCUGUCUCGCCUUUCACUCCCGCAUUUUGGUCGUCGUGCCAUGAACUCUCU